CACUAUGCCUAGCCCUAAACAUUGAUAACACCCUACUCAGUUUAUCCGCCCGGGGACUACGAGCGUCAGCUUGAAACCCAAAGGACUUGGCGGUGCUUUAGAUCCACCUAGAGGAGCCUGUUCUAGAACCGAUAAUCCCCGUUCAACCUCACCUUUCCUUGCUCAUUCCGCCUAUAUACCACCGUCGUCAGCUUACUCUUUGAGGAACCAGCCGUAGGCGCAACUGGUACUACCUAAAACGCCAGGUCGAGGUGUAGCGAAUGGAAAGGGAAGAAAUGGGCUACAUUCAAUAACAAUAGUGCAUACGAACGAUGUUCUGAAAUAAACAUCUGAAGGAGGAUUUAGUAGUAAGUAGAGAGCAGAGUGCUCUACUGAAGCCGGCCCUGAAGCGCGUACACACCGCCCGUCACUCUCCCCGAGCUAAUUUAAUACAUUACUAAUAAACAAAACUUGCAAAGGGGAGGCAAGUCGUAA
rnacentral:rRNA from 1 species